rnacentral:misc_RNA from 1 species
UCCAGCUUAUCGCUGGCGGUCUCCUGCGAGUUCCGCCUUUCGGCAUGGCAACACAGGACAAGGGUUGCGCUCGUUGCGGGACUUAACCCAACAUCUCACGACACGAGCUGACGACAGCCAUGCAGCAUCUGUGCAGGAACUCCGAAGAGGGGCUCACGUUUCUGCGAGCUUUCUCCUGCAUGUCAAACCCAGGUAAGGUUCUUCGCGUUGCGUCGAAUUAAACCACAUGCUCCACCGCUUGUGCGGGCCCCCGUCAAUUCCUUUGAGUUUCAGCCUUGCGGCCGUACUCCCCAGGCGGGGCACUUCAUGCGUUAGCGACGGCACUCAGGGGGUCGCUCCCCCAAGCACCUAGUGCCCAUCGUUUACGGCGUGGACUAC